GAUGAAGAACGCAGCGAAAUGCGAUAAGUAAUGUGAAUUGCAGAAUUCAGUGAAUCAUCGAAUCUUUGAACGCACCUUGCGCCCUUUGGCUAUUCCGAAGGGCAUGCCUGUUUUAGUAUCAUGAACACCUCAACUCUCAUGGCUUGCCGUGAUGAGCUUGGACUUUGGGGGUCUUGCUGGCCUGUGGUUGGCUCCUCUCAAAUGAAUCAGCUUACCGGUGUUUGGUGGCAUCACAGGUGUGAUAACUAUCUACGCUUGUGGUUUUCCACCAGGUUAACCUUCAGCGAUGGAGGUUCGCUGGAGCUCAUAAAUGUCUCUUCUCGGUGAGGACAGAUCUUUGAACGUUUGAUCUCAAAUCAGGUAGGACUACCCGCUGAACUUAAGCAUAUCAAUAAGCGGAGGA
rnacentral:misc_RNA from 1 species